UGUAGAUCUUACUUUGCUGAACAUUAUUGCUGCUUACAGUUUAUAUAUAUCUAUAAUAAUAUUCAAAAUAAUAACAAAUAAAAUGCUCCGCUGGGGCGCAGCUUGAUACGACCGCAGAGGUCGAACCCUGAACAGUUGGGGCAAGUAUGGACACAACAUUCAAGCUUGAUACAGCACUGAAUUUGGAUUGUAAUUAAAUAUUUGACACAGCAUAGGUUUCUCACACAGAAUGAAAGUGGUCUAAGAACUUAAAAAUUUUCAAUUUACCUAUCCAAACCAUAUCAUUAUUAUUUGCUUUUAUAUAUAAAUCAGAAAUAACCAAUUUAAAAUGGAAAA